GGCAAGAUGGCCGAGCGGUCUAAGGCGUGUGACUCAAGCUCCCGAAGCUUCCUUUCUCAUGAGGGUUUCCUCGCCAGGGUUCGAAUCCCUGUCUUGUCA